rnacentral:tRNA from 1 species
GGGCGUGUAGCUCAGCGGUAGAGCGCUACUCUUAUAAAGUAGAUGUCCAUGGUUCGAAUCCAUGGUUCGAAUCCAUGCACGCCCA